UACUCCUACGGAGGCAGCAGUGGGGAAUAUUGCACAAUGGGCGCAAGCCUGAUGCAGCCAUGCCGCGUGUAUGAAGAAGGCCUUCGGGUUGUAAAGUACUUUCAGCGGGGAGGAAGGCGUUGAGGUUAAUAACCUCAGCGAUUGACGUUACCCGCAGAAGAAGCACCCGCUAACUCCGUGCCAGCAGCCGCGGUAAUAC
rnacentral:rRNA from 1 species